UACGUAGGGGGCAAGCGUUGUCCGGAUUUAUUGGGCGUAAAGCGCGUGUAGGCGGCCAGAUAGGUCUGCUGUGAAAACUCGAGGCUCAACCUCGAGCUGUCGGCGGAAACCAUCUGGCUAGAGUCCGGAAGAGGAGAGUGGAAUUCCGUGGUGGUAGCGGUGAAUGCGCAGAUAUCAGGAAGAACACCAGUGGCGAAGGCGGCUCACUGGCCCGGUACUGACGCUGAGGUGCGAAGCGUGGGGAGCAAACAGGAUUGAGAUAC
rnacentral:rRNA from 1 species